rnacentral:lncRNA from 1 species
CUGUGAAUUUUUCCUUCAUUUCAACAGAUUCGGAUUCUGCCUGAAAUCCUGAUGAAAAAUAUAUAUAAUUGUAGGUAAGUAUUAUGGUAAGUUAUUAAAUCACAGAACUCGCGAAUUUCUUCAGAGCUGCUAUGAUUCUAUGAUUCAAGUUCUAUGAUUUAAUAACUUACCAUAAUACUUACCUACAAUUAUAUAUAUUUUUCAUCAGGAUUUCAAGCAGAAUCCGAAUCUGUUGAAAUGAAAGAAAAAUUCACAGAUGAUAAAAAAAUUGGUGUGCAAUUUCGGUCCACCAGUAGACAGAGGGCCUUAAUGACCAGGGUCCGGCCGCCAGGUAAAGGUCCGGGGUGGACACAAUGGGAACAACACCCCGGUGAGCUAGGCGCUGAACCAGCGGGUCCUCGCCGGGAUCCGACGUUGCAAUUCUCGGCUCGCCCGAAAGUGCCCGAACUUUUACUCUUUCUAAUUGGUUUGCACAGACUGUACCCUUCGCAUUGCUCUCGCCCGUGGUAAAUCCCACGAGUUCGCGGAAUCGACACACCCUUGCGAGUCCCUCCAUGAAAGAAAGGACGGUCCCUCGUUGAGUGCCGAUUAGUUUCACUUUUCGAGCAUCGAUCAGUGAUCAGUUUUCGAUCAGUCCCUCGUUACCACUCGUGUGCUCAGGUCGAGCGGUUUAUUUCAAUCAUGGACGGACGACGAAAACGAAGCUUCAUCAAGGAAGUAAAGAAGUACCCCAUUUUGUGGAGGACGACCUCGGAGGCCCCCCCGCUACAGAAAGAGUUAAAAUGGCUUAAAGUGGCUAAUCGCUUUGCGAUGACGGUGGAAGAGGUCCAAAUGGAAUGGAGACGGUUACUACAGUCCAGGAGGGCGGCUCAUUGGCGGCGUACGAAUACGCCUCAAGAAAAAAAAUGGAAAUAUGAAGACGAUAUGUCGUUUCUAGAAAAGGGCAUAAGCAGGAACAAGACCUUAGAACCAAUCGUGCCGCUCAUGAGAUUGGUAAACAAUGAGGACACCGGUGCCGGUACCAGAGGUAAGAACUGGGCCGUUACCAGCGGUUACAAUAGUGCCAGUACCAGCGGUGACAAUAGUGCCAGUACCAGCGGUGGCAAUAGUGCCAGUACCAGCGGUGACAAUAGUGCCAGUACCAGCGGUGACAAUAGUGCCAGUACCAGCGGUGGCAAUAGUGCCAGUACCAGCGGUGACAAUAGUGCCAGUACCAGCGGUGACAAUAGUGCCAGUACCAGCGGUGGCAAUAGUGCCAGUACCAGCGGUGACAAUAGUGCCAGUACCAGCGGUGGCAAUAGUGCCAGUACCAGCGGUGACAAUAGUGCCAGUACCAGCGGUGACACUAGUGCCAGUACCAGCGGUGAAAUCGGUGUCGGUAGUUGGGGCUCCAUCGUCGUAAAAAAAGAAAAGGAUGUAGACGCAAUCAUCAUCAUUGAUGAUGAUUUUGAUGAUGUGGAGGCCGAAAUGAUGAACAUCAUCAAUAAAAAGCUGAAUCUUCUUCGCGCGGUAAGGGAUUCGCUAAAAACCACUAAAGAACAGUUGGACUUCGUGCGAGGAUUGGAUCCCAUGUUGAGUGAUGCGAUUUGUCAGUACUUCCGCAAAUUUUGUUGA